UACGGAGGAUGCAAGCGUUAUCCGGAAUGAUUGGGCGCAAAGCGUCUGCAGGUGGCAAUGUAAGUCUGCUGUCAAAGCGUCUGGCUCAACCAGAUAAAGGCAGUGGAAACUACAUAGCUAGAGUAAGGUAGGGGUAGAGGGAAUUCCUGGUGUAGCGGUGAAAUGCGUAGAGAUCAGGAAGAACACCGGUGGCGAAAGCGCUCUGCUGGACCUUAACUGACACUGAGGGACGAAAGCUAGGGGAGCGAAUGGG
rnacentral:rRNA from 1 species